UACGUAGGUGGCAAGCGUUGUCCGGCUUUACUUUUCUUAAAGGAUGCUUAGGCGGACAUUUAAGUCAGAUGUGAAAUACCCGAGCUUAACUUGGGUGCUGCAUUUGAAACUGGGUGUCUAGAGUGCAGGAGAGGUAAGUGGAAUUCCUAGUGUAGCGGUGAAAUGCGUAGAGAUUAGGAAGAACACCAGUGGCGAAGGCGACUUACUGGACUGUAACUGACGCUGAGGCAUGAAAGCGUGGGGAGCAAACAGG
rnacentral:rRNA from 1 species